rnacentral:rRNA from 1 species
UACGUAGGUGGCGAGCGUUGUCCGGAUUUACUGGGCGUAAAGAGCGCGCAGGCGGUCGUUCAAGUCGCGUGUGAAAGCCCCGGCUCAACUGGGGAGGGUCACGCGAUACUGAUCGAUUCGAAGGCAGGAGAGGGAAGUGGAAUUCCCGGUGUAGUGGUGAAAUGCGUAGAUAUCGGGAGGAACACCAGUGGCGAAGGCGACUUCCUGGCCUGUUCUUGACGCUGAGGCGCGAAAGCUAGGGGAGCAAACGGG